AUAUGACUCCUCAUCGCAUGGUGGGGGGUGGAAAGCUUUUGUGGUUUUGGAUGGACUCGCGGCCUAUCAGCUUGUUGGUGGGGUAAUGGCCUACCAAGGCGACGACGGGUAGCCGGCCUGAGAGGGUGACCGGCCACACUGGGACUGAGACACGGCCCAGACUCCUACGGGAGGCAGCAGUGGGGAAUAUUGCACAAUGGGCGCAAGCCUGAUGCAGCGACGCCGCGUGAGGGAUGACGGCCUUCGGGUUGUAAACCUCUUUCAGUAGGGAAGAAGCGUAAGUGACGGUACCUGCAGAAGAAGCGCCGGCUAACUACGUGCCAGCAGCCGCGGUAAUACGUAGGGCGCAAGCGUUAUCCGGAAUUAUUGGGCGUAAAGAGCUCGUAGGCGGUUUGUCGCGUCUGCUGUGAAAGACCGGGGCUCAACUCCGGUUCUGCAGUGGGUACGGGCAGACUAGAGUGCAGUAGGGGAGACUGGAAUUCCUGGUGUAGCGGUGAAAUGCGCAGAUAUCAGGAGGAACACCGAUGGCGAAGGCAGGUCUCUGGGCUGUAACUGACGCUGAGGAGCGAAAGCAUGGGGAGCGAACAGGAUUAGAUACCCUGGUAGUCCAUGCCGUAAACGUUGGGCACUAGGUGUGGGGGACAUUCCACGUUUUCCGCGCCGUAGCUAACGCAUUAAGUGCCCCGCCUGGGGAGUACGGCCGCAAGGCUAAAACUCAAAGGAAUUGACGGGGGCCCGCACAAGCGGCGGAGCAUGCGGAUUAAUUCGAUGCAACGCGAAGAACCUUACCAAGGCUUGACAUGAACCGGAAAGACCUGGAAACAGGUGCCCCGCUUGCGGUCGGUUUACAGGUGGUGCAUGGUUGUCGUC
rnacentral:rRNA from 1 species